rnacentral:rRNA from 1 species
AUUGAACGCUGGCGGCAUGCUUUACACAUGCAAGUCGAACGGUAACAGGCCUUCGGGCGCUGACGAGUGGCGAACGGGUGAGUAAUGCAUCGGAACGUGCCCAGUCGCGGGGGAUAACGCAGCGAAAGCUGUGCUAAUACCGCAUACGAUCUGCGGAUGAAAGCGGGGGAACUUCGGGCCUCGCGCGAUUGGAGCGGCCGAUGUCCGAUUAGGGAGUUGGUGGGGUCAAGGCUCACCAAGCCGACGAUCUGUAGCUGGUCUGCGAGGCCGACCAGCCACACUGGGACUGAGACACGGCCCAGACUCCUACGGGAGGCAGCAGUGGGGAAUUUUGGACAAUGGGCGCAAGCCUGAUCCAGCAAUGCCGCGUGCAGGAAGAAGGCCUUCGGGUUGUAAACUGCUUUUGUACGGAGCGAAAAGGCUCUCUCUAAUACAGGGGGCUCAUGACGGUACCGUAAGAAUAAGCACCGGCUAACUACGUGCCAGCCGCCGCCGUAACAC